rnacentral:rRNA from 1 species
CUGGCGGCACGCCUAACACAUGCAAGUCGAACGCAGUAGCAAUACUGAGUGGCAAACGGGUGAGUAUAAUGUGGGAAUCUGCCUUUUGGUUUGGAAUAACACGGGGAAACUUGUGCUAAUACCAAAUAAGCCCUUACGGGGAAAGUUUUAACGCCGAAAGAUGAGCCCGCACUUGAUUAGCUAGUUGGUAAGGUAAAAGCUUACCAAGGCAACGAUCAAUAGCUGUUCUUAGAGGAAGACCAGCCACAUUGGGACUGAGACACGGCCCAGACUCCUACGGGAGGCAGCAGUGGGGAAUCUUGCACAAUGGGGGAAACCCUGAUGCAGCGAUGCCGCGUGAGUGAAGAAGGCCCUUGGGUUGUAAAACUCUUUCGUCGGGGAAGAAAAUGACUGUACCCGAAUAAGAAGGUCCGGCUAA